rnacentral:misc_RNA from 1 species
UGGCAAUCGAGCACUGGAGUGUAUCCGUUGGAAAUCUGUCCAGGGUGGUUGAGGACAAUGACCUGAGCUGUGAAAUCAGCAGCACCUUUGGGUGGGUUGCUCUUCGAGUCUCCUGCUACAUAGCCACGACGCAACUCCUUGACGGACACAUUCUUUACGUUAAAACCUACAUUGUCUCCAGGUACAGCCUCUUGUAGAGCCUCGUGGUGCAUUUCAACAG